GAAAAACAAUAGUCACUUACCCGCGCCGCUUCCUCUUUAUUUUUAUUUUUUCCCACGCAACGCUUCGCUACCGCUUUCUCUUCCAUUACAACACUUUCUCUUCUUUCUAUUUUAUCUCUCUGUUGCCCAAGCAAUCAAAUUUGCAUUGUUUAUUCAGUCCGUGUUGGCAUCACAGUUGUGAAGAGGAACCACAUCACAAAUUGUUCCCAGCUUAAUUGGGGAGAAAUAGAAAGAAUGUGACAUGCUUAUUGUGACCUCAUGAACUGUUCGAAAAGAUGCCCUAUAGAGAGAUCUUGGCCACGACUUCACGAAAAGGUGUUAUUUACUCAACAGAUGAAAAAUUCCCUACAAGGACGGCUUCAGUAAAGGGUGCUAUUUACUCAACAAAUGCAGGAAUAUGAUGUUGCAUCAGUUUGCUAUUGAUGAAAUCUUUUAUCUGAAGUUGAUUCGGGGAUUUACUUAGACUUUUGGUGGUGUAAGGAAAGCCCGCAAGUACUUUAAUAUAAUCCGGAAGAUUAGAAGUUGUAUGCAUUUGCGACUUCAUUGGAGCAGGUUGUUUCAGCGUAAAGAAUGAUGACUUGGAGCAGGAAUUCUUUCGGUUAUAAGUUUUAUUAUUGUUCGGCAAAUUUGCUUUUGGAAUUGUCGUUUUUCUUCACACCUUUGUCUACUAAUUCUGGGAAGUUGCCACAACAAUAUUGAUCAGCCAAAAGUUCAUAUAGAGGGAGAACCUCAGAUGAGACUAUGAAUGCAGAGUAUUACUUACAUAACUGUUCAUUUCCUGAAACUUUUCCCGAAUAAACUAUUGAUAUUCGAAAAUCAUAAGGAAGUACUGAAUAAGAAGACGCAAAGCAACGGGACUGAUUGGCAUGUCUUGAGGCGGGUCAUGAAAGGGAUUAAGACUGUUGACAUCCCGAAACGAUGUGAUGUUUGACUUGAUUUGCUUCAAAACUGGUGUUUUCAUAGUAUAUGGCCAUGAGACUGUCCCCGCAUUAACUACAGGAUUCAUGUUUGCAAAUGGCUGGUGGGGAAGAACUAGAUUUUAUUCUUUUGGUAUCAAAACUUAUAUAGGGGAGUAUAUCAUGCACCUCCGGCAAACCUUCUCAAGGUAGUGAUACAUAGUGGUUUGCCGGGGAAGCAUGAUAAUUCUUUCUUCUAUAAGUUUACUUUGAUAAGGAUAUGAUGAGAGCUGCUGCCGGUGGUACAAGUGAAGACUUGGGAGGUGAUCGAGUUUACUCAAAUAUCUUAAGUGGUAUGAGAAGAUCAAUUUGCUUUUGUGACUCAUUACUGAAGUAUAGAAUAUCUUUUGGUUUCCUAUUUGCUAUAUCAAAGACAGAUGUAAAACAUAUUAGGCAAACAAAUUCAAUUAAUUAAAAAGUAAGGAAGGUUCUAUGAAAUUCCU